UUAUUGUGUUUGAAUUACCUGGAGUAAAGCACGCGGCAGCCCCUCAGCCGCUUGUCAUGAGCACUGUAUCCAUCUGAGGAGGAAAGUAUUAGGUUAGUCAGGUGACAGGCAGGAAUGGGAGCCAUGCACCGUAUACCCAGUGGCCUGAAAUCUACAAAAACGUAUCAAUUCUUUUGGAGAUCCUCAGCACAGACAAGAGAAGGGUAGAAGGGGAAGUGUUCAGGUUGCAUUUCUGGGCAGUCCUUUUUACCCUAAACCCAACACUCUGAGAACUGAAAUUUGGCCCCUUUGCGAGAUUAGGCUUCCCAAAUUAGCUGUCUUUGGUGACAGCAAAAAUACCUGCCUGUCCCCUUAAGCAAAACUCUCCCACCUGAGUGAGAAACCAGAGGCAUGGCCCAAGCCCAGAACAGGUGUUUAACAGGAUGCUGCAAAGCAACAGGCUUCCACACGCAGUACCUCUGAGCACAUUGCUGGAGGGAUUUGGCCGUGUGAGGAGCCUUGAUUACUGUGGGGCUAAAUUAAAGGCAGGUUCUGUAAUACUGGUACAGGAAUCAACAGGGGCAUAUUUGUUGGCUCAUAUGAAAAGUCCUAAGUCUUGUUGCAUCUUGAGAAAGUGGGCAUCUUUUAGUGCAGUCAAAACCUGUGGUAAGAAGUGAGUUUUAAGUUCCUGGCUGUCGGGAUGUUUCUCCAUGGAGGGCUAUUAUUAUUAUCUUUAAGGAAAACUACCCUUAAAAGGAAAUGCUAUAAGAGUUGUUCUAAAUAGUGUGUGGAAUGUUGGAGAUGCUUUCCCAUUCGGGCUUAUUUCACACACUAAGUACCUAUGUGGUGUGAGCAGUGUGAGCCGCAAUGGCAUGCAGAGGAGAAAGGUGAAGCAGCAUGAGGAAAUGAGGUUAUGUUUGUUUUGCGGAAAACUUUGUUCUGGAAAAUGCACACCCUUUCUUUAGAAAUGCAGUUUCGUCAAGAAAUCACAGGAAAGAAGUCCUCUCCCAGUUCAGUGUGAAUUAGGACACCCCUGUUCCCCGUGCCCUGACUCUUUUCCUCUCCAUCCUUGGAACCACACAGAAGCACACGUUUGACUGUUCAUUCAUGGAGCCCUGUGUGACCAUGAGGGUGUGCACAUGAGUGUAGUUGCCUAUAGAGUCCAAAAGAGGUCAUCAGAUACCCUGGAUCUGGAGUUACAAAAGGUUUUGAGCCUCCUGACAGGUGCUGGGAAACUUGCUUAUGACCUCUGCAAGAGCAUAUCUGUGGGCUGCAGGAAGAUGCGGGAAGCUCCAUGCAGGAACUGACUCAAGCCAGUCUGUAACAUGAGCUCUUUACCAGGUAUUUCUCUGGAAUCCAAGACAGAGGAAUUUUCUGGAGCUCCACGCAGUGGAUAAAGCCAAGGACCUUGUUGUCUGACUACAGUCUCCCUGUUACUGCAUUUUAUGUCUUUGCCAUAUGAAUUGAGACCAUUUCCAGCACGAUGUUCAGGCCCCAGAUGGCUAGGAAGACUGAGUAGCAAGCUGUCCGUCCUUCUCUUGGGAGUAGAAUUGUGUGGACCUAAGCACAUAUCAGGGAAGUGCUACAGAGGUCUCUUUUCCUAUUUGUGAGAUCAUUUACAGGAAUACAUCCCUGCCAAACACUUCACCUGUGCCUUUGAUUUUUUAACCCCUCCCCCCAAGAAAUCCUGUCCAUAAUGAUACGAUUUUGGCCUUUGUGAUGCCAAGCAGCAGUGGUGUCCCUUCCCUGGGCCUUUUCACACUCUGUCUAAUCCUCUGUCCCCCUUCCUGUGGCAGGCUAGUGGCUGUCCCUGUCCACAAGUGAUGAGCGGCAACACCAUUAUAGGAUUCACUAACAAAAGACUUCCACGAUCAUUUUCUAGCAUCUUGGAGAUUGACAAGGUCCCCUCCUGUUUCCCAAGCCCAUUUCCCCCUGUAUUCCUGGUGAUUUCUUUUCUUAUACACCAGAAAGAAGGCGCCUCGCUGAGUGGUGACCUCUCAGCACACGGGUACCUGCUAGAGACAACAAGCGUCACGUGCUCAAACCGCCCCUUGAUGUGUUGGGAUUGGUGUGAUGGGCCCUGUUUGAUAUACGGGGCUGCUUAGAGCUGCCUUUAAAAAAA